CGCGAAGAACCUUACCUGGUCUUGACAUCCACAGAACAUUCCAGAGAUGGGAUGGUGCCUUCGGGAACUGUGAGACAGGUGCUGCAUGGCUGUCGUCAGCACGUGUUGUGAAAUGUUGGGUUAAGUCCCGCAACGAGCGCAACCCUUAUCCUUUGUUGCCAGCGGUCCGGCCGGGAACUCAAAGGAGACUGCCAGUGAUAAACUGGAGGAAGGUGGGGAUGACGUCAAGUCAUCAUGGCCCUUACGACCAGGGCUACACACGUGCUACAAUGGCGCAUACAAAGAGAAGCGACCUCGCGAGAGCAAGCGGACCUCAUAAAGUGCGUCGUAGUCCGGAUUGGAGUCUGCAACUCGACUCCAUGAAGUCGGAAUCGCUAGUAAUCGUGGAUCAGAAUGCCACGGUGAAUACGUUCCCGGGUCUUGUACACACC
rnacentral:rRNA from 1 species